rnacentral:lncRNA from 1 species
CAUACAAGAGAAGCACCGCUGCUUCUCCUAUCUCCUUUCAUCAAAUCUAUCCCGCAUCAGAGGUGCUUCCCCUUUCUCGAUUGAUUGCCAUCACCGAGCCACCGUGGCUGUUUGCGUUCCCAUCUUCCUUGCUCGACAGAUGAACCACGACCAUCGGACCCGACUCCCCUUCGCAAAUUCCUAUUUUGUCCCAAUACUCAAUUAAAAAAAAAAAGAUGAUGCGAUUUAAGCCCUUUCUAUUUUGUUGAUCGAAAUCAGUCGGAUACGGGGCUCCAACAUAGAAAACGGGUUUCAAAUUCACCCAAUCAAAAGUCAAGGGGUAACCCUAACUUGCAUUUAAAAUAUCCAGAACAACCCCUCCAUCAGGAAACCUAACAAAUAAAGCCCUGAAGCCCCAAAUCAGUUUCAAAUGUACAUGUUUAGCCCCUGUUUUGUGAAUAGUUUGCAAGAUCAGUCCCUGGAGGAUAAUUUUGGUAAAAUCAAUCGCUAGAGUUUACUUAUUAUUAUUAUUUAAAAAAAACCAUCAUAUACUUAAUAAUUAAUACCAAAACUACCAUUUGGUUUAUUAGGUAGUUUAAAAAUAGUUCGUUUUAAGAACGAGGAACGUUAUGUAACAAAUCUCACAACAAGAUUCACACCUCCAGCCUCGUUAAUGCAACGAAAGUGAGUGCUUUCGGCCCAUCUUCAAUAUUUUAAUUAGUUCUGGGGAGGGGGGAAUACAUGUGCCUAUGUAUUUUGUUUAUACAAAUAUAUUAUCCUUUAUGUGAAAAUAAAAUAA